rnacentral:misc_RNA from 1 species
UAGCCACAGUUUCUGUCAAAGUCUCUUCUUUCAUUAACAAAGUCAUAAUGUCACCACCAGGCAGAUAUUCCAUGAUCAGAUACAAGUAUUCAGCAUCUUGAAAAGAGUAAUAGAGUUUGACAAUGCAGUGACUGGCAACUUCUGCUAGCAAAUUCCUUUCAGCUUUAACAUGUUCAACCUGUCCCCUACGAAGCAUUUCUGAUUUCUUCAAUUUUUUCAUUGCAUAGAUGUUACCAGACUUCUUCUCCCGACACAACCUUACCUCUCCAAAAGCCCCUCUACCUAUAAUGGUUAAAAGGUCAAAAUCAUCAAUGCAAAUUUUGUGCCUUUUCAUUCGCAUAUAUUCUGUC